rnacentral:rRNA from 1 species
GGGUUGUGAGGUUAAGCGACUAAGCGUACACGGUGGAUGCCCUGGCAGUCAGAGGCGAUGAAGGACGUGCUAAUCUGCGAUAAGCGUCGGUAAGGUGAUAUGAACCGUUAUAACCGGCGAUUUCCGAAUGGGGAAACCCAGUGUGUUUCGACACACUAUCAUUAACUGAAUCCAUAGGUUAAUGAGGCGAACCGGGGGAACUGAAACAUCUAAGUACCCCGAGGAAAAGAAAUCAACCGAGAUUCCCCCAGUAGCGGCGAGCGAACGGGGAGCAGCCCAGAGCCUGAAUCAGUGUGUGUGUUAGUGGAAGCGUCUGGAAAGGCGCGCGAUACAGGGUGACAGCCCCGUACACAAAAAUGCACAUGCUGUGAGCUCGAUGAGUAGGGCGGGACACGUGGUAUCCUGUCUGAAUAUGGGGGGACCAUCCUCCAAGGCUAAAUACUCCUGACUGACCGAUAGUGAACCAGUACCGUGAGGGAAAGGCGAAAAGAACCCCGGCGAGGGGAGUGAAAAAGAACCUGAAACCGUGUACGUACAAGCAGUGGGAGCACGCUUAGGCGUGUGACUGCGUACCUUUUGUAUAAUGGGUCAGCGACUUAUAUUCUGUAGCAAGGUUAACCGAAUAGGGGAGCCGAAGGGAAACCGAGUCUUAACUGGGCGUUAAGUUGCAGGGUAUAGACCCGAAACCCGGUGAUCUAGCCAUGGGCAGGUUGAAGGUUGGGUAACACUAACUGGAGGACCGAACCGACUAAUGUUGAAAAAUUAGCGGAUGACUUGUGGCUGGGGGUGAAAGGCCAAUCAAACCGGGAGAUAGCUGGUUCUCCCCGAAAGCUAUUUAGGUAGCGCCUCGUGAAUUCAUCUCCGGGGGUAGAGCACUGUUUCGGCAAGGGGGUCAUCCCGACUUACCAACCCGAUGCAAACUGCGAAUACCGGAGAAUGUUAUCACGGGAGACACACGGCGGGUGCUAACGUCCGUCGUGAAGAGGGAAACAACCCAGACCGCCAGCUAAGGUCCCAAAGUCAUGGUUAAGUGGGAAACGAUGUGGGAAGGCCCAGACAGCCAGGAUGUUGGCUUAGAAGCAGCCAUCAUUUAAAGAAAGCGUAAUAGCUCACUGGUCGAGUCGGCCUGCGCGGAAGAUGUAACGGGGCUAAACCAUGCACCGAAGCUGCGGCAGCGACGCUUAUGCGUUGUUGGGUAGGGGAGCGUUCUGUAAGCCUGCGAAGGUGUGCUGUGAGGCAUGCUGGAGGUAUCAGAAGUGCGAAUGCUGACAUAAGUAACGAUAAAGCGGGUGAAAAGCCCGCUCGCCGGAAGACCAAGGGUUCCUGUCCAACGUUAAUCGGGGCAGGGUGAGUCGACCCCUAAGGCGAGGCCGAAAGGCGUAGUCGAUGGGAAACAGGUUAAUAUUCCUGUACUUGGUGUUACUGCGAAGGGGGGACGGAGAAGGCUAUGUUGGCCGGGCGACGGUUGUCCCGGUUUAAGCGUGUAGGCUGGUUUUCCAGGCAAAUCCGGAAAAUCAAGGCUGAGGCGUGAUGACGAGGCACUACGGUGCUGAAGUAACAAAUGCCCUGCUUCCAGGAAAAGCCUCUAAGCAUCAGGUAACAUCAAAUCGUACCCCAAACCGACACAGGUGGUCAGGUAGAGAAUACCAAGGCGCUUGAGAGAACUCGGGUGAAGGAACUAGGCAAAAUGGUGCCGUAACUUCGGGAGAAGGCACGCUGAUAUGUAGGUGAAGCGACUUGCUCGUGGAGCUGAAAUCAGUCGAAGAUACCAGCUGGCUGCAACUGUUUAUUAAAAACACAGCACUGUGCAAACACGAAAGUGGACGUAUACGGUGUGACGCCUGCCCGGUGCCGGAAGGUUAAUUGAUGGGGUUAGCGGUAGCGAAGCUCUUGAUCGAAGCCCCGGUAAACGGCGGCCGUAACUAUAACGGUCCUAAGGUAGCGAAAUUCCUUGUCGGGUAAGUUCCGACCUGCACGAAUGGCGUAAUGAUGGCCAGGCUGUCUCCACCCGAGACUCAGUGAAAUUGAACUCGCUGUGAAGAUGCAGUGUACCCGCGGCAAGACGGAAAGACCCCGUGAACCUUUACUAUAGCUUGACACUGAACAUUGAGCCUUGAUGUGUAGGAUAGGUGGGAGGCUUUGAAGUGUGGACGCCAGUCUGCAUGGAGCCGACCUUGAAAUACCACCCUUUAAUGUUUGAUGUUCUAACGUUGGCCCCUAAUCGGGGUUGCGGACAGUGUCUGGUGGGUAGUUUGACUGGGGCGGUCUCCUCCUAAAGAGUAACGGAGGAGCACGAAGGUUGGCUAAUCCUGGUCGGACAUCAGGAGGUUAGUGCAAUGGCAUAAGCCAGCUUGACUGCGAGCGUGACGGCGCGAGCAGGUGCGAAAGCAGGUCAUAGUGAUCCGGUGGUUCUGAAUGGAAGGGCCAUCGCUCAACGGAUAAAAGGUACUCCGGGGAUAACAGGCUGAUACCGCCCAAGAGUUCAUAUCGACGGCGGUGUUUGGCACCUCGAUGUCGGCUCAUCACAUCCUGGGGCUGAAGUAGGUCCCAAGGGUAUGGCUGUUCGCCAUUUAAAGUGGUACGCGAGCUGGGUUUAGAACGUCGUGAGACAGUUCGGUCCCUAUCUGCCGUGGGCGCUGGAGAACUGAGGGGGGCUGCUCCUAGUACGAGAGGACCGGAGUGGACGCAUCACUGGUGUUCGGGUUGUCAUGCCAAUGGCACUGCCCGGUAGCUAAAUGCGGAAGAGAUAAGUGCUGAAAGCAUCUAAGCACGAAACUUGCCCCGAGAUGAGUUCUCCCUGACCCUUUAAGGGUCCUGAAGGAACGUUGAAGAUGACGACGUUGAUAGGCCGGGUGUGUAAGCGCAGCGAUGCGUUGAGCUAACCGGUACUAAUGAACCGUGAGGCUUAACCUUACAACGCCGAAGCUGUU